GUUCAACCACGGGGCGCCUCCCCCGAUGCGAAUUUCGGUCAGGCCCGCAGCUUUUUAACACUUAUGUGACCCACAGGCCUCCUCUGCAGUGGAUUCGCAAGCCAGGGUUAAUCUUCCCCCUCCCCUCCUCCCCUUCAGCUCUCCUUUAAAAACAUCCUGAUAAAAUGUCCUGGAGUCCCUCAGCCUCUCCGGCAGUACGUCUCCCCAGCCAGGAGCGUGCCCAUUGCGCUUUCGGUACAAGCUGGAAUCAAAGCGCUUUUCUCCGGUGAGCUGUGCUGACUGCAUGUAGUUGGGGUCAUCCUUAGCUCGGCAUAGACCCUGAAUUCCCCCUCCCACCCCAGAUCAUUGGAGAACACUCGACUUAGGGAGAUGGCUCAGUUAAUUGGCUUUCCGCAAGACCAUUUGCAUAUUUCCGGGGCUCCACGUGAAAUGCGUUUUCUGAGAAGCUCACUGAGGCAUGUAAUCGCCAGGCUUGCUGAUCUGUCGAUAGCAGCGAGCGUCUCUGAGAGCCAGAUGACACGCAUCUCAUUUUACUCAACUGCAGCACCAACAUAAAUCAUUUUCCCGUUUCUACAUAAAGACCCGUAACCGUAAUAUUUUGUGUGUUGUGAAUGUUUAAUGUCUGGAGACACAGUUGUGUAUUUAAACGUAUGAAGCAAAAGAAAUGUCAAAUCUUGAACACUUUCCGGUUGUCCUUCUGAGCACCAAUGCUUCAGCUCAGUCCCAUCAAGGGAGGGUGAAUUUUUCUCGACAUUUCCAUCUGGCUCACAUUGGGAGGCUGUAUGCGGUCGACUCACCAACAUGAGACGGCUUCGGCAGCCAUGCUGGAUGGAGCAAACAGACUGACGUCCUGUUUGGUCUUUUUCAUUUUUUCCUCCACCCCGCUGAUCAUUUGCAGAUGAGCUCCUGAAGGAGACAUUUUGGGGUCUCUCUGCCUGUGACGUCCCUGCAGAGACAUUGUUGUCAGUAAGAACGCUGCUGAUUUUACGUGCCUGGUAUACAUCAAUUUGUUUGAGGGACCACCUCUGUUUAGAAGCAAGUUCUGAGAACGAAAGGUUUCCGCAGUGGCUGAGGCUGAUACAGUCUAGGGUGCAUCUUUCAGCUCUCAGCAUCUUCUAUUGUCUCUGGACUUCCAUGUUGACUUGUUCAAUGACAUGCACACAUUGGGUACUGACUGGUACAUUUUCACGAUUUGGGAGGGGGGGAGUUGGUCAGGGGAGGCAAAAAAUGCUGGUUCUCCAUAAUAGAUUUUUCAAUAUCAUUGUUUUUUUAAAAGGGGCGCUUAAACCAUCACAGGGUCCAUUUCCAAUCUUCCGGGUAAAAGUGGCAGGUGCUCAGCUCCCCCCCCAGGUAGACCCGUUACAGAUACAGAAUCCAGACGAGGCAGAGGAGCACUUCAUGAGGGUCCAGCACAUGGUAAACAAGGUUCAGCUUGCUGUUCUUCUAGUUACAAAAGUGCUACUUUAGGCCCGCUAUCUUAUUAUGAUAAAGAGUGUCACACACUGAUGUAAAGGCAAAAAAAUCCCAUCAUACUCAUGGGUACUUAUAAUUAUUCUCAUAAAGUUGCAUUUGUAGUUGUGAGUACAAGUAGUGCAUAAAUACAUAUUAAUAAAUCAAGCAUUUAUCAGAUAAGGAAAGGAAUAUGGGAUAUGGAAUAUGGGAUAUGGGAUAUGGAAUAUGGGAUAUUGGGUAUGGAAUAUGGGAUAUGGAAUAUAGGAUAUAGCAUAUGGGAAAUGGAAUAUGGGAUAUGUAAUAUGGGAUAUGGAAUAUAGGAUAUAGAAUAUGGGAUAUGGAAUAUGGGAUAUAGCAUAUGGGAAAUGGAAUAUGGGAAAUGGGAUAUGGAAUAUGGGAUAUGUAAACAUCUUACAAUUUUUACAAUCGUAUGUGUUGCCCUAUGAGUUUAGCUUUCAUACCUUCACCCACUGGGGAGAAACCUUUGUGUCACCCAUCCGGAGGCCCCAGGAACUUGUCGGUGUCCACUGAGGAGCAUCUACAAGUGGAUUUUUUUUGGCCACCUGACGGACAUGCUGGUGCGACCUCAUUACAGCUCGCCCAACAAGAUAUGAAAUAGGCAGAUGCAAUUCCUUCGGUCACUGGUUCGCCCACAGACGUGACUCGCCAUGAGAAAGCAAGGGACGAUGGGAUCCCGGAUGGGAUUCCAGGCCAUGAUGAAACUCCCAAAUGCCCAUCGUUCAAAAACUCCUGGACUGGUGCACCACGCAAUUUCAAACUGACAGAAAUGUGCUCGACUUCGCCACCAGACUGUGUCAUGCUGAACCGUGCUGGAGAAGAAGCAGGAGGCUGGAGACCUCACGCAAGCAUUGCAGCAGCAGGAAUGAUGGUCACGUUAGCUAUAUAUAUAUAAAUAAAAUAUCUACAUUCUUACUACAUUUUAAGCUAACUCCACUUCCAGGGUGAAGAACAUUUGGAUCCGUUUACAAUAUUUAAACCUAGCCUGAAAGUAAUUUGGCUUCGUAUGGGGAACAGCAUACAGCAUUUGCCUGCAUGCCCUACAAGUCAAGCAACCAUUUAAUAAAAGGUGGUCUCCUUUGGGCCUACAGCCUCCAGGCCAAAGGCUAUUACGGAUUAAAUUUUUUAUAGAGUUUUAUUGAAAGGUUGUUCACCUCCAUUUUAAUUUCAGGCCAUGUGUAAUGUGUGCUGAAGUAGGCAUGGUUGAAGUGAAGCAGCAAAACCAUUGGUCGGUGAGAUUUAGCAUGGCUUGUCAGUCACUAUCAACAUGAAUCAGUGAUGUAAUCCAAGACACCUGGGCCAGACUUGGCCUGUAUGCAAAGGCUCCCAUCACUAAUUUGAAGUUGGUCCUCAGUCUGCAGUCAGACAGAGCUAAGCAGACUGAUCGGUGCUGCUUGUGUGAUAAUGAGAACCCAAGGUGAACACCACUGGGGGGGCUGCAGGUUCCCCUGGCAACCCAUCAUCAGUCCACUGCUUUACUGCAGACACAAGCCGCUAUGAGGGCCCGUGUUACCACCCUGUCAGCUCCCGCCAUGACCGUGAGUGUGCCUUAUUUCAUGUGUCUUCAGCAGGAUUAAUAAACGUAGGAGAACAUGGCAGUGUCUGUGCUGGAGAUGAGGCUCGGCAUUGACGAUUGCAGUGUGCCCAUGUGGUUUUGGCUCAUGGGAUCGUCACCUGGGCAGGGAUCCUCGCCUGGGGCAGACGGUGCCCCCAUCACGCCGCCAGUCCGAUUCUUCUGCUGAUUAACGACAGGAAUGCAGUCUAUCCUCCAAGCUACCCGAUGAACAGAAGUUGCGCAUGACUUCGCCCACUGAGUUCCCAACAGCCCUUUUCGCUUAGGCUGCACAAUAAACUUUGCUAGACUUGUAGUUCUCAUACAAAAUGCCAAUCCCACAAAUACCCAAACCUACAGAGAGUUUGUCUAUUGGUAUCCCAUACCUCACCACUUCCACUCUGAACAGGAAGUGAACAGAACCUCCCUGUAGGCUAGACUGAAACUGAGGGAGCACACGGUUACCUUGUGAUGAACGAAGGGCAAACCAGGCCAGGGCUCGUAAGCAUCCUGGCAGAACAAGGGCCAUAACAACAUGGUUUCCCUGGAAACGUCUCCAGAAUUGUGGCCAGAUCUACUGCUCAAAAGCGACAUCACAAUUACGAGUCAUCUCAAGUUAAAAUGAAGUCAAUUACAGUUGUCAAUUACUAUUACGCAGCCUUUAUAUCCAGCAUGUUUAAUCUGACUUGCUUUCCUGAUUCACUUAAUUUGACAUUUUUGUGGAACAUAGGCAUUCCCGUGGUAUGUGAUGAUGAAAUAAGUCUGACUGACAGAUUAACACGAAAUAGAUCGUCAGCCGAGCUCUUAAGUAUUUCACUAAUUGAUGUGCGACAGCUUUGAUAGCUGCCUCGUGUUAGCUACCUCGUGUUGUUGAUGUGUGAUGCAUGUUAUCGUCCGGCUGACAGCCACCUCGGGAUGUCAGAACAUUGCUAUUCGAUGGUCCUGUGGGAGCAGAUGAUGGGCUGAUUGAGGCAAUGCAUGUAACUAUCACAUUAUUUUGGGGGAGGGAGGUGUGACAGGCAUCGGCAUUGGUGUGAAAACCCGAAAGUGGAGGCCGGGCAAGUUGUAAGUUCUUAACACCAACUUUGUCAACUAUAUAGGUUUAUCAUUAAAUACUAGAAAAUUCACCAUCAAUGAGGUGUUAAUUGGAUUGUUUACACCUCGACUUUCAGACGUGUUUAAACAGAAGAAUCCAGGAAGUAUUUCGUCUAUAGAUGCUCACCGCCUUCCCAUCAUGCCGUGUUCCACUUCAACCCAAGACCAACUCCACCAGGAGAGCAAGAUGCUAAACAAAGGGAAAACAGGAAAAACAAGCACCACAUAGAGGUCAGAGAAAAGUAA